AACGCACGAGACCUGCGGACCUGCGGAGGGAUCAUUACCGAGUGGAGGGUUCUCGUUCGAGGCCCGACCUCCCCACCCUGUGUCUAUUGUACCUUGUCGUUGCUUCGGCGGACCGGUUGUCGAUCAACUGGUGGUGACCGCCGGGGGUCUCGUGCCCCUGGAGAGCGUCCGCCGAUGGCCCAACCACACAAACUCUUGCCCCCGAAACCGGUGUCGUCUCAAAACACGUGAUGUGAUUAG
rnacentral:misc_RNA from 1 species